UGGCUCAGUUGGUAGAGCAUGGCACUUCGAACACUAGGACUGUGGGUUCAAUUCCCAU
rnacentral:tRNA from 1 species